rnacentral:misc_RNA from 1 species
UCCGGCUUGUCACCGGCAGUUUCUUCAGAGUGCCCGGCCAAACCGCUGGCAACUGAAGAUGGGGGUUGCGCUCGUUGCGGGACUUAACCCAACAUCUCACGACACGAGCUGACGACAGCCAUGCAGCACCUGUGUUCCCGCCAGCCGAACUGAAGGAUGAAGUCUCCCUCACCCACACGGGACAUGUCAAGAGCUGGUAAGGUUCUUCGCGUUGCGUCGAAUUAAACCACAUGCUCCACCGCUUGUGCGGGUCCCCGUCAAUUCCUUUGAGUUUUAACCUUGCGGCCGUACUCCCCAGGCGGUCAACUUCACGCGUUAGCUUCGUUACCAAGGAAUUGCUUCCCCGACAACCAGUUGACAUAGUUUAGGGCGUGGACUAC